GGGGCACGCUGCUCCUGCACACACACACACACACACACACUCACUCACUCACUCACUCGCUCGCUCACUCGGCAGUUCGCCCGCCUUUCUUCCAGGCAGGCGUUUGUUUGAUCGUUAAACUGGAAGGAGAGGGGCCGAGCGGAGGGGGGGAGGUUUUGACAGCUGCCCUUGACUCGCCUCCUCCUGUUGCCGCCGGAUGAACCACCCACUCCUCCGCCGAGAAGAAAGGAGAGUGUGUGCGGAGCCCUCCGAGGAGCCCCACACCCCUCCCGGCUCCGCGGGGCCCCUCCGGUGUCACCGCCGCCCCCUCCCCGGGCAGGCGCGCCCCUUUCGAGGUUAUUUUUACACCGGGCUGUUUGUCCCCCCGCUCCUCGGUGGAUGUUGCUGUGACACACGCUCGUAGCUAGAGAAAACUCUCUCGGCUUGACUCAUCCCUCUCGGGCGAGCACGUGGUGCAGCAACAGUUUAUUUUCCUCCCGAGAUGAGACAGACGCGACCCGCCAGCGGCUCCGCUCCGCGCUCCCGGUGCCCGGGGCUGCCUGCAGAGCCGAGGGGGGGAGGUGAGGGGAAGUGAGGUGAGGUGAGGGCCCCUCCGGACGGCUCGUGCGUGGAGAGCCACGCGCUGCUCGGCGCUGCGCUACCGCGCGUGGCCGCGUGUGUUUGUUGUACCGCUGCAGGGCCACGUGCUGCGGGGCAGCGCUGCUGGCGGCUGAUGAAAUCACGGAGUCCUACGGCAAAACAGCGCUCCUUCCCCCCCCCUCCACCUCCGCCUCCUGCUUGUACGUCCACAAAGACGCGCAUUCACCUCCGAGCGGGAAGCAGCCGCGUUUCAACAGCAAACCCUCCCAAGCACCUCGUAACUAUUUUUACAUAGCGUCAUUACAGCGACCUUGCCGGAGAUAAAACAGCUGUUACAUCCUGCGCGAGGGACGCACGCGGAGGGCGGCUGUUGAGCAAUUCCGGCCAACAAGGCCGGCUCUCCGCCGCCCGCGGGACUGCGUGGCCCGCGGCUCUGCCUGGCGGGGAGGAAGGAGGGAGGGGGGGAGCGCUGACUCACAGCGCGGCGCUGACUGAGCGGCGGCGGUGCGAGCCGGGCCGUUACCCGCCGCCCAACCGCCCUCCGUGCGUGCCCGCGCCCCGCAGGCUGCUCCCACCGCUCCCCCGGCACCGCUUUUGUUUUUGUUUCUCUCUCUCUUUUUUUUUUUUUUUUUUUAAGUCCGGCUCCCCAGCUGUGAGAGCUGACUCUUCAAACCGGCGCUUUGAGCGUCCACGCUUGGCCGUGCCAAAAAAGUAACGACGGGAAGUGAACAAAGGACAUGUCAAGGAUCUGAGGAGAUUCCCCUCUCUACGCACCGCCCGAGCCGCUCGGCCCGCGUUGCUCACUGUCCCUGGGGCUGCUGACGAGUGGUGAACCAAACUCUUCCCUUUUUCUUCUGGCGAGGUCGCUUUAACGAGAGGAAAAAUAACGCUUUACUCUCGCACCGAGCUGGAGCUUGUUUUUAAUAGUGUUAGGAGCAAUCCUAACUGCUGGAAUUUUCUCCAAAGGGAAGACUGGUUUUUGACUUCACAUGUGGCAGCACAUGAAGCAGAUAGGCUGUAAAGACCAGGAGGGUCAUGCUACUAGUAGCAGAGCAGUGAGCACUCACUCCUAGUUCCCCAGGUACAACGUACCCACAGAGGCUUUCCUUUUUUUCUUUCUUUCUUUUCUUCUCUUUUUUUUCCCCAAGUUGCUCUAUGGAUGUAAGCGUUGAGGGUGUGUGUCCAUACUUGGGACUACAGGGAGACACAGAAAGCAUCCAGCAAGCUGUGCAGUUUUGAUUGCAGCCCCCAGGACAAGGUUGGAGCAGUACCUGGGGCUUGUCUGCAGAUUCUACUUUAUUCUAGCACAUGAAGGCUCCCAUAGGUGUUGGAACUGAUAGAGUGGGUAAAGCUUGCUAAUAAGUAGGGUGGUUGGAAGCAAACUGCUGUAGCCUUCUCUUACAGUGAAGAUUUGACACACCUGAAAGAAGAUUAUAUCUAAAGAGGUAGCAGGUGAGCUUGUUGCCUGUUCUCAGCUGGAAUCUAAGGAUAAGGAGAGACCUGAUUUUUUUCAGUAAGUUCAGUCAACUGGUGGCUCAUAAGUUGUGAUGGGUUUUGGUGUUCACAGGCAGAAGCAGUUGAUAUGUAAUAAAACACACAACUUUGCACAGUUUUUUCUCUUCCUUCAUAGGUUGGCAAAGCUGUGAUUUUAGCAUUACUUAAUCUGCUGGAACUGUAUCAGCACUAAUAAUCAUAUCUCAUGCUGCUCCCUGAACAACUUUGGCUUCUCUGCAGCUCCUUGGAUUUCCCCUUUAAACAGAACUUUUUAUCUGAUUCUUUAGCACAGACACGGAACCAUAUAUUUGAAAGAGAUGGAGGGAUAUGUUCUGGUCUUCUGUGUGUACGUUCUGUUCAGAACAUUCUGAGAGCUCAGAAUAUCAUCAGAGCCAGAGGGAGACAUAAAAGAAAUAUACUGAAGACAGGAGAAUGAGACAUGCCGCAGAAGAAACAGUGUGGCUGCCCUUGAAUGCCUGGUGAUGGCAUAUUGUGCUUUGCUGUCAGUCUGUUGACUCAUGUACACUUCAAAAGAGCUCUCAGGAGAGGCAGUUAUGCGAGUCACUGCCUGAUGCACUGUAAAUCAUGGCUGUGCUUUUUUUGUUAUUUGAACGGGCGUCGAGUGAGCCUAAUGCUGUUUUGAAAGAUCAUCUAAUGUCAUUGGAACUCAGGGAUUUCAAUGAAUGUGGGGCAGAGGAUGAGGGAAUGCUCGCCCUCAUGGACAAGAUUAGUCAGAGCUACUUCAGGAUUGUCUGGUCAUCUCUUCUUUAGUAUCAUGUGCUGCAGGUCAAAGCAAAUAAAGCGGUAAGAAUCAGGAGCUUCAUGGAGGUUAUGCUGAACAGAGGUGUAUCCAAAAUCUUAGUGUGCUCUCGCCUCCAUGUCCUCUCUCUUGAAGCUGUACCCCUGAGAUUUGAUGAAAAAGCAGGACAAGAGCUUUAGAGAGUUGGUGCAGGGAUUGGUACUGUCAGAUGCUUUUUUGUCAUCGCCUUUCCUCUUAAGAACAAACAAAUGCUUCCCCUCUAAGGAGUAAGGCAGUAAAGGGAUACCAGGUGGCACUGAAUAAACUGUGAAAUGCUGCAGUCAUAAUGCUGUAGUAGAACCACAUCAGGAAUUUUAGUCCAGAUUCCUAAGGAAAGAACUUUUUACACUGUGUUGCUUUCGUCUGAUGGUCUGCAGGAUAUCUCCAUAAUUUUAAAAGUAGGCCAGCUUCAAAUAAACUUUGCAGAAUGGAAGAGGCUUGUUGUUCUUAAUGAAGAUGAUUGAGGGGGUCAAGGUGAAUCUCCCCACAGAAGGAAAGGUUUAGAUUGGAGUUCAGGUGUGUUCUUAGUGACAAACCAACAAGGGGGAAAUUUUGAAUGCCCUGUGUACAAGAAAAACUUUGAACAAAGUUUGCAUUCUAGUUGAAAUGGGAUGGUAAAAACAUGAGAUGCAAAGCUAUAGGUAACUCUGAAAAGCAUUUUACUUUCUCUGUUUGUAAAGUUGAAAUUGUGCUGCUUACAGUUACAAACUGGAAAUUCAGAGCACAGAACCAACUAUGUAAAGACUUGCAGAACCAUAUUAAACCACAAUAUCGAAGACAAAGAUUAUUUCUGAACCUCUGAUGCUGUCAAUUCAGGAGUUCCCAGGGCUAUCUGGUUUGCCUUUUGCUUUGCUGCUGAGAAUGGAAGAAAUCACAUCUCUUGAGACUGCUGCGGGGAUUGUUUUGAGCUAUUUUAAAAUUCACAGGAGAUAGUUAAGAAAUUCACUUUCUUAUGUUGCUUUACAAAACCUAGGAGUAUUAUUUUAGAUGUCCUUCAGUGAUACUGUGAUUUCCAUAUACUUUAAGAAUAGAACAGGUCUCAGUUUGCUAACUCAUACUCACGUGGCUAUCAGAGCUUACAGGAUGAGUGAUGCUGUUUUAGCAGUAGCAGUGCUCUGUCACAGCAGAUAGAGCUUGAAGCAGAUUAUGUCCAGCCUCAAAGACAGAACACAACCACUAGAGUAUAGACCUCAGAUGUUAAUCUGAUUCUAGGCUUUGGCUGGUGGAUAGCUGUCAUUAGAACAGGAGAACUAAGUCAGGAGACCUGACUUUGGUGUCUGAUACUGAAGGAUGUAGCCAAGGGAUCCAGUAGUAGUCUUUCUGUAUCUGUAAAACUAGAACUGCUCUUGGGUGAAGAUAGGGAAAUAGUUAUUUCCACUUUGUGAUGCCAUUUGCGUUGUCACAAAUAUGACCAGGCUCACACAAUUACUUUGUGAUGUUUGACCUGCAUCCUCUGCAUUCAUAUAAAGUUACUGUAUAUGUUUAAUAUUUUCUGGUCAUUGCAUUCUGACAGGAUGACAGCCAGCCAGAUGUGCUUUUAUUCAGCAGCAGUGAAAUGGUGCUCAGUAUCCCACAACAGUACAAGUGGUUAUGUCAGGCCUUUCAAGCAAGUGCAUUGAGUAGAAUAGUGAUGCCUGUACUUGCCACUCUGACCUCUUCGUGUGGGCAGCAAAGGGUUAAAGGCUGAAAAAGAAACUAUCAAGCACUCCCCAGACUGAGGAGUAAAGGAAGAGUGGGCAAAGUGAGAAGUAGAGAGAGAUUAGAGACCCUGCCUUUAAGCUGAGUGGUUUUCAGAUGGACUACAAAGGGGAAAAAAAAAUUAAAAGGCCAAAAUAUAUCUGGUUGCUGCAUAGAGUGGGCUGUAGGAAAUGAGUGUUGGGGAGGGUUUCCCAUGGAUGGUCAGCUAAUGUGAGUGUGCUGUGAUUCUAAAUUUGCUGCCUCCUGUCAGUUGUAAUUCUGAUCUCUCUGCUAGUGGACCUUUACUGAAGUGUCUAAAUUAGGGCUUACUAAAAUGCAUUUGCAGCUGAUAGUGAAAGUAGGAGCCACUGCGAGAACAAGAAUGGAACUUUUUUUUUCUGAUUCUGCUAUCUAGUCUUUCCGUGAGUCAGAUUUGUACUGGCUAGAACAUCUGCAAUAAUACAAAAACCAAACCUGUGCUUAUCUGAGCUGCACUUGCACUGAUUACUGUAUCAGGAGAGCUGAACUGGUAAUGAAUUACAUAUAUGAAUUCGAGCAAGGCAGGUGUUGUCUGCCUAAUUGUUCCAAAAGCCUCAGCGUCAACAGCGAUUGUGAAUGAUGUAAUGCCACCUUACAGCUAGAACCAUCCUGAGAUCAUGAGCUCAUUUCAUAUAAAAUGACAAUCAGUUGGAAAUACCUCUUUGUUGUAAGUAAUCUGCCAAAAAAUUUACUAGUUAAUUUCCUCUUGAACAUGGCAAAGAGACUGGGGCAGCUCUUGCUGGCAGAGCAUUUGUUGGGCCAAAACCAUUCAGAUGUUUUGAUCGUGCUGCUGCCAGCAUCUACCCUAAAAUUCAUUUAAAACUGAUUGUAGAAUGAGCAUCUAAAAACACAGUGCAGAUGUGAAGAUGUGCCACGCACCUGAAUGUCUCUUUUCCGUACUGUGCUUCACUACAGCUGGAGAAAAGAGCGGAGGAGUUAAGAUGAUAGGCAGUUUUGGCAAGGAUUUCUGCGUGCUACUUAUAUCUUUAGUAGUAGUUUCCAAGCUCUUGUAGUUGCUGCAAUGAGUGAUGAUCUUGGGAUACCUCAGAAUUCUGUAGCAUACUAUGAGGAACUUUUAUGAGAAGCUUUUUUUUUGGAAAGAAAUGAUCUGCCACUCUCCCUUCCCCCCACGUUUAUUUGGCUCAGUAGGUCUCCAGGUUAGUAGUAGGGUGGAAUAAGAAAUUUUUCCCCUUGCUAUAAUAUAUUUGGGGUAUAUCUGCAUUAUAAGAAAUUGGCAACACUGAUAUUUAUACUGUAACAUGAAAAGAACAAAUUACGUACAGUCAUAUAUUUGGGCUUUUUUUUUUUAAAGUUAUUUAUAAGAGGUGUAGAAGCUACUUCUAACAUAAGUACAUGUUUCUUUAUUACUGAAAUUUCCGUGCUAAGUAAUUGCUGACAUCUUUUUCAUUUUUUCUUUUUAUCUUUACUUGGCCCUCACUGACUUUGAAGUUUGGUUCAGGUCAAAUUGUACAUUCAUCUUUUAAAGCAUCUGAAGCGAUAACCUCAGUUUGUCCUCUAGAUCCUGAAAGCUUAUGUUUCUGUUCAACUUUAAUUCAGUUCUUGAUGGUCUGUACUGAAAUUAUUAGAGGCACUGAGUGAUUUAUUUUUUAAUGAAAAAAAUGGGGCAUGCAUCAGGCGUUGCAAGAAUGUAUCUUAAAUAGGAAAAAAAAAACUCUCCCAUAUUGCUGCAACUAUCACUGGUCAGUUUUUCUAAUAGAAUCUGAUUUAUGAACCAUGAAAACAGGACCCUUGAGGGAAUAAUUCAUUAAUUAGCACUUUUUCCAUUUGUGAUUAUUGGAGAAAUAAACUACUGUAUUGGAAUUUCCUUUUUGCCCCUGGAGAGUGUAAACAGCGUUAAUACGUCACAUGCACCAGGGUAAAAGUAUCAUAGAUACUUUUCAUAACAAUUAAGAAGAUAGUUCUAUAAACUUGCAUUUUCUUCAUCACCACAUCUAGUAGAUUUCUAUCAUCAUUGUGCUUGAGAGUUUUGCACUCUCCUAGAUAAGAGACUGCAUUGGGACAUCCAUUUUUGAUUCUGAGCUGUCUUUCCAGAGAAAGCGUUUAGGCAUCUUGGAGAAUGGCCACUGCAGGAUGGGUUUGGGAUCAUUCUCAAAACUGCUGGACUAGGGCACUGGAUUGGAGAGUUUUGUUUGUUCCUUGUUUUGCUUUGUUUGUUUUAAUUAUUUUUUUGCCCUUUACUUUUACACAAGGGAACCCGCGUGACCAGUAGGUCUGCUGCUUCUCAGUAAGAGCUCAUAACAAGAGGAGGGGAGAGCUUGUGUGGCUGAAUAAAAGUGUGGAGGUCACACAUGAUUCUCUGUAAACAAGAGUGCUCGGUGAGAGGGGAAGCAGGAAAAAUUCUGACCAACUUGAAACGCUGACAAAAGUGAGGCUGACCUGGAGGCAACGCCGAGUCUGUGGAGUGAGGACGUCCCAGCACUGGUGUUACUUUACAGAAGUCAGUGACUCUGCAGCACUUAAUAAAGCAACUGGUUGAGAAAUUCCUUUGCUAAGCCUGAGCACCAUGUGUUUUGGGUUGGGCUUUUUUUUUUUUUUUUAAAUGCGUGUGUGAGAUGGUGCCAGGAGGUAUCAAACCAGAAUUACAACGUGAAAGAGGAGUUCUGGGAAAAUACAAGUAGAUUACUAAAAGAGAAAGGAGAGUCUUGGAUAUGUAAAGCUGCAGUUCAAAGCUCUGUGAUAGCUGGGUCAUGAAGCUCUGACACAGGAGGAUUUAUACAAGGAAUCUGGGCCUGAGUGAGAGCAAAGCUGAUCCAGAGCUAGAAUCGGUAGUCAGUUUAAAGGGAGUUAGCUCUGGAUUCAGCUGACUCUUUUGGAAGGUCAGCUGUUAUUCGAGGCCUUGAGACUGAACCUGAGUUCUCUGUGAAAGGUUGUUGUAAGCUUUGAUUCUGCAGCUCUUAAUGCCAUGAAUAAUCAUGAUAUCCAGAAGAACAGAAGCUGCAGAAGAAGCUGCUAUUGUCUUCUGAGGCAGCUUCUGGGCACUUCUAGUCUGGUAGCAUUCAUGGAAUGAGAACAAUGUGAUGCUGUGGUUCUUUGCAAGUCCUCAUUUGCUAUGCUAUUGUGGGUGGGAAGAUACACAUCUAGCAGUCAGCCAUUACUGAUAAUACAAAUAUGAAAAAGCGACUCACACCCUGGGAAGAGAACACAAGGACCUCAGUAUUGCUAGGGACCAGAAUAAGGUAAGCCUGGUUUAUUAUUGUUUCUAGAAGUCCUGCACACAUCUGGGCUUUAGUUUAGGCAUAAUAAAAGAGCACAGGUUUAUUUAAUGCAAAUAACCCACACAGCUAAGUUUUACCUUAACCAGACACCUCCCUUCCUUGAUUUUGGAUUUUACAUAAAGUACUUGCAACAGCUGUCCUGAGACAGAAGGAAUUUAAGCAUCACUUCUAGUAAAUUUCAGAAUGUUGGCAUUCUUGUGACAAUGUAUCACCAAGUAUUGAUUUUAUAACUUCCUUUUCAAAUUUAUCUUGCUGGAAAUGCAAUUCUAAUUAGAGUUGCAGUGAAGUUCUAAUGGCUUCAAGGAGUUUGCUCACAAGUUACUACAUUUUCUUGCUAAACUCUUGAGAAGCAAGACUGAACUCACCAAAUUGACUUCAUCCCUAAGUAGUACAAUAAGCAGAGCAGUUCUCUUAUGUGGUCAAUCAAUCUAAUACAUAGACAAAAUGCAGUUACCUUUGGAUUUUGCUUUGUUUUUAAAAGAAAGGCAUUUUACCUUGCUUAAUGUCAGGUACAUGGCACGCAGUACCAGCUGUCUGGAUCAGAAAAGGAUAUUCCAUGGUUACGUCCUUCCCCACACGACUACAAAGAGCGUUACUGACCUCCUCUGCUACUUCCACCCUUUUAAACCUUAGGUUGAUACACAGCGUCCUUCUGACGUACAAAACAAACCAUUAUGUCCCAAACUAAAAAUAGCUGAUGAAAUGCAACUGUGCAUCAGUCGGCAGCGCUGAGGUUCUCUGCAUUACACUCACUGACCACAAGCUAUCUGAAACGCCUGGCCUCCAACAACAUUUCAGCAAAUAAAUAUGAACUCCUGACAUCUAGAUACCAGUGAAGGCAGCUGACAAUAAGGGGAGCUGCAGUCAAGAGUUGCGUGCUGCUUCAGUCUGUUCUGCCUGAACAAAAGCAGCCACACAAGUUACUGUUAAACUCUGAAUAACCAAUGAGUUUCACUGUGCUAAACAGCAUCUGUAACUGUUUUCUGAAAUAAAGAACAGGCAAUAUGCUCAAAGCUACAAAAAGUAAACAAAGAGCACAUUUUACUUCUAUGCUAUUUUUUAAGUUUCUCUAAACCAGACCUGGGAGGCAGCCACAGAGAACAGAGAGACAUGACUCUUGCACUCAGAGACCUUUGAGUGUCAGCCUGUGUAUGGAGAAGCAUCUCAUAGGAUUGGUGCAGCUAUGCCUGAAAUAGACCUGCACACAGCUCUGGGAAAUUCCAUUAGAAACAGGGCGAUAAAUUGGAACACGUUCAGAAGAAACAAGGCCACCAAUUCAGCCAGCCAGAAAGAUCAACUUGCGAUGGAAAAGGUUCCAAGCGCUCGUGCUUAGCGUUAUCUCCACGUGUACAGCAGGGAAUGACAAUGAAUGAGGACUUCGCUGGAGUCAAGCACUAGACUCACUAAUCUAGGUGAGAACAGGACUUCAUCUGACAAACUCAUUGGAUUAUUUAUUAAAAAUAAAAGGUGAAAUACAUCAUACUACUGGAAUAGAGAUGGGAUAAGUUCAGACUGAAAACAGACGAGUAUCAGUAGAUAAAAUGAAUGGAAAUACUUCACACUGGAUAGCACAAGUCACAACACACAUUAGUUUCAUCUGUUUAAUACAGAGCAUCAAUCUGUCUGGGACUUGUUUUGGAAACUGAGAAACUUCUAAUGUAAGAGCUUGCGUCCUUCAGACAAGAUAUUUCCAACAACUUUUCUUCACAUGUAAAAAUCUUCCUGAAUAAGUCAGUACAUUGCAGACACUGGACUAGAGAGGCGGUAGCAGCACUGUGCUGCUUGCACAUUCACUUCCUUAGGCAGGCAAUGGAUAACGAGCUACAGAAACAAUGGAAGUCAUCUUAUGCUCCUCCCCUCUGGGGAAAAGAUAAACCCCAGAAGGAGAUAAAGCUGAGUAAGUAAACAGCUUGAGCUAGGCAAUAAUAAAACUUGACAUCCCAUUAAUGGUAACAGGCUGGAUCUGUUGAGAGACUCUGACCAAAAGUUACGCUGCAGAAAACAGCCUCGCAUUUUCAACAUUUUCUUUAUAAUGAUGAUGAAUGUCUAUCAUUCAAAAUAAAACCAAUCACAGUCACCAAUAAAGUCUCUUUUUAAAACUUAGUACUGACUUUUAAUAUAACACUUAUUUCAGAACAUUAUUACGCUAGGAUAUAACAGACACCUUCUCUUCAGUCAUCAAGCUCAAAAGUCAUCCUCAAAGCUGGCUCCCAAGUUCUAUCCGUGCAGUUGGUUACAGCAUCAGGCACAGCCUGUCAGCUCACAGGGCUUGGAGGGGAGGAGUCUGGAAGAGCUGAAAUGCCCAGCACACUCCACAGCAGCUCUGUGUAAAAGCUCCAUGCAUACCAGACUGCACUCGUCCAAAGCACUUUGUUAGCUCACCUAGUCUUGAAGGCCAUCUCUAUACUUUCUUUGUUAAUAAGAAUUCCUGACCACUUCUUGUAUAGGUUGUAAAACCUGCUGUGAUACCUCGUUUUCAUGACUGAACAAACCCUCUACUUAUGGGGUAGAGUGAAAACCAGUCAUCUGCC